rnacentral:rRNA from 1 species
UACGUAGGGUGCAAGCGUUAAUCGGAAUUACUGGGCGUAAAGCGUGCGCAGGCGGUUGUGCAAGACAGAUGUGAAAUCCCCGGGCUCAACCUGGGAACUGCAUUUGUGACUGCACAGCUUGAGUGCGGCAGAGGGGAUGGAAUUCCGCGUGUAGCAGUGAAAUGCGUAGAUAUGCGGAGGAACACCGAUGGCGAAGGCAAUCCCCUGGGCCUGCACUGACGCUCAUGCACGAAAGCGUGGGGAGCGAACAG